AUUGAACGCUGGCGGCAGGCCUAACACAUGCAAGUCGAACGGUAACAGGAAGCAGCUUGCUGCUUUGCUGACGAGUGGCGGACGGGUGAGUAAUGUCUGGGAAACUGCCUGAUGGAGGGGGAUAACUACUGGAAACGGUAGCUAAUACCGCAUAACGUCGCAAGACCAAAGAGGGGGACCUUCGGGCCUCUUGCCAUCGGAUGUGCCCAGAUGGGAUUAGCUAGUAGGUGGGGUAACGGCUCACCUAGGCGACGAUCCCUAGCUGGUCUGAGAGGAUGACCCGGCCAACUGGAACUGGGAAACGGUCCAGACUCCUACGGGAGGCAGGAGUGGGGAAUAUUGGACAAUGGGGGGAAAGCUGAUGGAGCCAAGGCGGGUGGAAGAAGAAGGCCUUCGGGGUGUUAAAUAACUUUAGCGGGGAAGAAGGGAGUAAAGUUAAUACCUUUGCUCAUUGACGUUUCCCGCAGAAGAAGGCCCGGCUAACUCCGUG
rnacentral:rRNA from 1 species